rnacentral:tRNA from 1 species
UCCCUGAUAGCUCAUUCAGUAAAGAAUCUGCCUGCAAUGCAGGAGACCCAGGUUCAAUUCCUGGAUUGGGAA